GGAAGACUUCCUCAAGGCAGGAAAUGGCAGACCUAAAGCUCAGAUUCUGUUCUCCUGACUCCAAGCCCAGUGCUUUCACCCCCUUGGCUUCGUAGUGCGUCCUUGAGAUCAGCGCUUACGGAGGUCUCAACCUCUCCGGGUAUUUACGAGUUAAGGGGGCGGGUCACAAGCUCCCCGCCCUCUCCCUGGAGAGUCAGCCCAGCCCCAGGAAGCUGAUUGGUGCAGGGAGACCACCUGUCAGGCUGGGAGGCGGGGCCUACAGCCAGGCUGCCGACUCAGGUAAGCCUUAAAGGGGACAAAUAUGAUUCCACGUUUAAGAACGAAAGAGUAGGGUGAUAUAUUUGUUAAAACUCAGAUCAGGAUUCUGUGGCCCAAGGAGGAGUUUUAGUUUUGCCUUCUGAUUAGGGAUCUGAUGAAUGUAAAAAGUCAUACAGAGCUAAUUAUGAUAAUAGCUGCAGUCAUUAAGGGCUUGCUACAUGCCAGCUAAACCCUUCAGGUAAACACUUCACAUCUAUUACUUUCUUUUAAUCUUAAUAACAGUCACUUCAGAGAGGCUGGUUAGGAGCCCAAGGUCACAAAAGUUGAUGUCAGGUUUAAGUUCAAUCCAGGUCUGUCUUGACCUCAAAUUUCUAUAACUCUGAAGAUCCCAGGAAAGGAAUUGGGCGGUGGAUCUGAAAGAAGCCAGACAGUGGAGCCCUCAGCCCAGAGGAGGAAGAGAGCAGAUGCUCGGGGUUUGCCUCCCAGGGGCAGGGUUUCCAAGCCAGGGCCCUCAGCGCUGGCCUUGAACUGCCAGUCUGGGGUUGGGGAUUCCUGGGGAAAGGGAUCUGCGGUGAGGUCCCAAUCCCAUAUCCACCUCGGUGGCGGGGACCCUGAGGCAGCGACCACUCCUCCACGCUGAUCCCAGCCUUCCCUUCUUCCAAGAGCCAGACCUGGAGGACUGCAGCUUCCGGUGUCGGGGGACCUCCCCUCAGGAGAGUCUGUCUUCCAUGUCCCCCAUCAGCAGCCUCCCCGCGCUCUUCGACCAGACAGCCUCUGCACCCUGUGGGGGCGGCCAGUUAGACCCGGCGGCCCCAGGGACGACUAACAUGGAGCAGCUUCUGGAGAAGCAGGGCGACGGGGAGGCCGGCGUCAACAUCGUGGAGAUGCUGAAGGCGCUGCACGCGCUGCAGAAGGAGAACCAGCGGCUGCAAGAGCAGAUCCUGAGCCUGACGGCCAAAAAGGAGCGGCUGCAGAUUCUCAACGUGCAGCUCUCUGUGCCCUUCCCUGCCCUGCCUGCUGCCCUGCCUGCCGCCAACGGCCCUGUCCCUGGGCCCUAUGGCCUGCCUCCCCAAGCCGGCAGCAGCGACUCCUUGAGCACCAGCAAGAGCCCUCCGGGAAAGAGCAGCCUCGGCCUGGACAACUCGCUGUCUACUUCUUCUGAGGACCCACACUCAGGCUGCCCGAGCCGCAGCAGCUCGUCGCUGUCCUUCCACAGCACGCCCCCACCGCUGCCCCUGCUCCAGCAGAGCCCUGCCACUCUGCCCCUGGCCCUGCCUGGGGCCCCUGCCCCACUCCCGCCCCAGCCGCAGAACGGGUUGGGCCGGGCACCCGGGGCAGCGGGGCUGGGGGCCAUGCCCAUGGCUGAGGGGCUGUUGGGGGGGCUGGCAGGCAGUGGGGGCCUGCCCCUCAAUGGGCUCCUUGGGGGGUUGAAUGGGGCCGCUGCCCCCAACCCCGCAAGCUUGAGCCAGGCUGGCGGGGCCCCCACGCUGCAGCUGCCAGGCUGUCUCAACAGCCUUACGGAGCAGCAGAGACAUCUCCUUCAGCAGCAAGAGCAGCAGCUCCAGCAACUCCAGCAGCUUCUGGCCUCCCCGCAGCUGACCCCGGAACACCAGACUGUUGUCUACCAGAUGAUCCAGCAGAUCCAGCAGAAACGGGAGCUGCAGCGCCUGCAGAUGGCUGGGGGCUCCCAGCUGCCCAUGGCCAGCCUGCUGGCAGGAAGCUCCACCCCGCUGCUGUCUGCGGGUACCCCUGGCCUGCUGCCCACAGCGUCUGCUCCACCCCUGCUGCCCGCUGGAGCCCUAGUGGCUCCCUCGCUUGGCAACAACACAAGUCUCAUGGCCGCAGCAGCUGCAGCUGCAGCAGUGGCAGCAGCAGGCGGACCCCCAGUCCUCACUGCCCAGACCAACCCCUUCCUCAGCCUGUCGGGAGCAGACGGCAGUGGCGGUGGCCCCAAGGGAGGGACCGCUGACAAAGGAGCCUCAGCCAACCAGGAAAAAGGCUAAAUCCACCCUUACCCCUCAUGACCCCCCAAGUGGAGGGAACAGAUCCUGGCCUGAGGGGUCCUAGCCUGGAGCAGGCGCCUGCGCCCAGACCCUGGAGAGCCUUGACCCAGAGCCUGUGCUGAGGUCCAGGGAGUGUGGGGAGCUCCUGGUGUCGAGGACUGAGACUGAGAGGGGAGCCCCCUCCAUCUGGCCCCCUUCCCUUUCCGCACUGUCCGCUUUGUGAGGCUCAGAGGAAGGACAGUCUGCAAGCCCGCCUAGGAGGUCCACCCCCAGCAAAUGUUUUGAAGGUUCCCCCCGAGAGCAGAGUGGGCCAUGGCAGAAGUAGGGGGUCGGUUGGACCUGUCGCAUGAAAUGGAUCAGCACUUAAAUGGGGAGAAGUGGAGGGAGAGGCCCUGGGCCUGUCCCUGCGGGGAAAUCUUUUAUGGAAGAAGGGCUGGACCCACUUUACCUGCAGUUUCUUCCCAGCUCGGGCAGAUGGCAGAAGGGACCCCUUGGACUUUUUCUCGCCAUCCCUCCCCCCAGCGCAGGGCACAAGCUGAGCUUGUAAAAGCCCACAGAUGUUGGGGGCUGGAGAAGGGGCAGGAGAGCAUCACACUCAGCCCCAGCCUCCUCAACCUCUUGGGGCCCCGUGAUGGGGAGGAGAGGGCAGGUGCAGGGAGGCUCCGGCCUUCCUUGAUGCCCCGCCCUUUGUUUGCACUAUUGGACUUAGGAGUGCCGAGGGUGGGGAGAUGGAGCUGCCCGACUCAGUGUGUGAGUGUGUGUGUGCGUGCCUGUGUGUGUGUGUGUGUGUGUGUAUGUGUCUGUCUGCCUGUCUCUCUCCCCCUGGACCCAGGGCAGCCAAGGGCAGGGAUAGGCGCAGUGGUCAGAUGAAGCAGCGCCAGAGAGGGGACCUCCCAGCUCUUAUUUGCACCCUCCCCACCUCACCAACUUUGGUCCCUCUCUGGGGGCAUGAAUGGUUAACAAACAUCAGAGCAGUACUCCAAUAUUGGAGAGUCACUGGGGGCACGGGGCUUUGAAUCAGGGUAAUGUCCUGCCUUUCCUCCCCUGACCCCACAUGGUCUCAGGGCCCCCUUAGGGCCCCCUACCCCACUGAUAGCUUCCUCCUUCUUCUCUGGCACAAAGGGAGCCCCAGGGCUUGGGGGAGGGCGUAAGGUGGGGGGACAUGCCACUGCUUUUAGCAAAAGCCUCCCUCUCAGAAUUAGCCAGCUUGCCUCCUGCACCCCACCCCCACCAACCAGGGGAGUCACUAAGCUGACUAACAACUGUCCCCUCACCCACCAGCUAUUUCCCCAGGGUAGAGUGGGCAAUUCUCACCUUCAGAGAGUCCCUGCCUGCCCAGGCCCUUGGCACAGAGGCUGAGUGGACAGUCAGGAGAGAGGCGAGAGGCAAGGCGAAGCCUGUUGUCCCUGUUUCAGUUGCACUGGGGUUGGAGCCCAGGGUAGGGGUUUCCAGCUUCCCCAGGCUCCGGCCUUGUCAGUCUCUUUGCAUGUGUGGAUUUUUCUGUGUGUGUUUCUGUUUGGGUUUUUGUUGUUGGGUUUUUUUUUUUUUGUUUUUUUUUAAUAAAGAAAAGAAGAUGUGUAUAUUUUUGGCAACGACAGAAA
rnacentral:sRNA from 1 species